rnacentral:lncRNA from 1 species
CACUUCUGGUCCUCCUUUGACUAGAUACAGAUUUGUUGAAGUCAGAUUUGGUGCUUGGACCACUGAACUUAUUGUUGAGGUCAGAUUUGGUGUUUGGACCAUUGAAUUUAUUUCUUUUAUCCAUCCUUUUCAUGAUACGGUUGAACUGUCUUCCAAGUAACACCAUGGCUUCAGAUAAACUUUCAUCACUCUCCAUAUCUAUCUCAUCA